AACUAACACUCAAACUUAAUGGAAUAAGGAAUCUGAAAAUGUAUUAAUGAAGACUAUUCGAACUGCUUAUUACCCAAAACCUGUUGGUUAUUAACAAUGUCUAAUUGCGGAACUAUUUAUCCUACAGGCUCACAUGAUACUGUGUUAACGACAAAAACUAAGCCAAAAUAACCAACAACUACUAAAUCUCCUGCUCUUAAGUAAUUGUAGUAUCAACUCAUAAUUUACAAAUCAAGCAAGGUUUCUGAAUAGUCCCACCAAUACAGUCUCGUACAUAUAAAUAACCACAAUUACAUGAAUAGCUAAGCUAAACAUUUCUAGAGCUAACAGUUAACUACAAAUGAACAGGUAACAACUCCUCCUUAUAGAUUCUUCAAAUUUCUUAUAUACACAUGAAUCUAAUUCCAAACUUUUAUGGUUACGAAAGUGUACCUUGAAAGGGAACACAAUGAAGAAGAAAAAGGAGUGAUCAGUACAACAGUAGCAUAUAAUACAGCAACAGCAGCAAAGCAGUAACACCAAUCCAACAGUAAUAUCACAGCAACAGAUAGUCCAGCAACCCAGUGAAUUUCCAAGAAUACCAACUUGAGUUUCAAUGAAACAGUAGCAGCACACCGAUUUUUAGCUAGAUAAAGAAGACUAGACUCUCCUCCUUCUUUUCAGAAUCUCUCUUCUCUCUUUUCUAUAUAUUUUCAGAAUUUUAAUCUUAUUUUUUCUUUCCGAUUCUCUUCUUUUCAAGUCUUUAUUCUCUAAAAUCUCAUCCCUAAAAUUAUUCAAAUGACCCUUAUUUAUUUGAAAUCAUGACCCUCUUUUCCCUUCCCCUUUACUUAUUACUCUACCCCCUUUUAUUAUUACACCUCCCAUUACCCCUUUCUUUAAUAUANNNNNNNNNNNNNNNNNNNNNNNNNNNNNNNNNNNNNNNNNNNNNNNNNNNNNNNNNNNNNNNNNNNNNNNNNNNNNNNNNNNNNNNNNNNNNNNNNNNNNNNNNNNNNNNNNNNNNNCCCCCCAAAUAUUCUCUUCUAUGUCUACUUUUAUACUUUUAUCAUUAGACCCAAACAUCUAUCAUUAUUUAGUGGUCUCCCACUAUUAAUUAAUUCAAAAAAACACAUUGGGGCCCUAUUGGCCACCAUGCUCAGUCAAACAUGUUUUAAAUUUUGAACUUCCUAAAUUACCCCUAAGAUUCCUACUGACUUCUACUGUUCUGAUUCAGAUCACUAGUAAACAAAACUAAACCUCUAAUUUCUAAAAUUAUCUCCUAACUACAGCUAAGGCCAAUCCCAACCUAAUCAAUUUAACUAAUUAAACUCAUUAUUAACUCCUAAUCAACACAAGAACAUAAAAAGAAUUCAAACCAAAACACUAGCUAUAACCAAUUCAAAAUUCAACAUAACAAUGGAAAUUAACUAAAAAUCACAUUUAUACUAAUAUUUUGUAGAAGUCAAAAAGAAGAAACAAUCAGAAAAGCUUAAAUUAAGAUACAGAAUAAAGAACACCCAAUUCACGACAUUUGAGUGACCAAGCCAUUCGAUUAAAUGACGAAUGACUAAGCAAUUCAAACAUCGUGAAGAAUUUAUCCUAUAUGAAAAGAUUCAGUUUAAUAUACAGACAGAAGCAAACACGAGGCAAGAUGAGAAGAGUACUGGAAUGGACUUAUGAAAUUAAAACCAAAAUUAAACUACUAUAAUCUAGAACUAAUAGUCCAACAACGGACUAAUCGAUGAAACUUAUUCAAUCGUUUAAACAAUUCAUAAUAUGUAAUUAUCAACAAAUGAUCAGAAACAGAGAAUCGAGCAAUUUUGGGUGAUUUCAGUGGUAUUGGGAGAAACAAUGAGUUAUAAUACAACCUUAAUUAAUAGAUGAUCUUAUUCGAAUCGAUUACAUAGCCUAGUAUACACACAACAACGAGUAGAAACCAAAUUGACCGAAUAAAAUGUCUUAUGAAGAUGGACAGAACAAUUGUAAAAAAUUGAAAAGAAACUAACAAAACUAAAUAAAUAACAAAUACUAAUAAAAUAGAAUGAGAUGAAGAGGGGAAGAAUACCUCAGAGGAUCAAAAACCAAACGGACUUCAUCAAUCUCGGAAUCGAACCUUUUUUGGGGUCAAAUGGAUCUUAAUCGAGUGUUCUUGUGAGAACACUCGACUAAGAUCGAUUAGGAACCCCAAAUUUCUCCUAAUCUCGGACAGGCUCCAUCUAUUGGCUUAUAGGGUUCUGUUUUGUUCGAUUUGGGAUUUGAACCUUUUUAGCCUGAUUUGAACCAAACCAAACGUGGUUUGGUUAGGAGGGAGGUCAGGGGGUGACGGGGUGUGAGUUUGGGGUGGAUCGGGGUAGGUUUAGGUUUUUCUCAAAUCUUCUAUUGAAGAUUCGAGACGAUGGGAGGUGAUGCGAGGAAAACGGGCAAUGGAUUCGUGAAGAGGGUGGUUAGGUGCUCUAGGGGUGUUAGUUUCAGGGCCAUCGGAGCCGGUGCUGCCGGGUUUACGGUGAAAGGAAUGGAGGGGCGGCUAGGGUUUGGGCUUAGGUCUCUCUCUGAACGAGAGAGACGAUGAACAGUGAGGAAUGGAGGGGGGUCUGAUUU
rnacentral:lncRNA from 1 species